UACAGGGGUGCAAACGUUGCUCGGAAUCAUUGGGCGUAAAGCGCACGUAGGCGGUCUGUUAUGUCGGAUGUGAAAGCCCUUGGCUCAACUGAGGAAGUGCAUCCGAAACUGGCAGGCUAGAGUACGAAAGAGGAUCGCGGAAUUCCCGGUGUAGAGGUGAAAUUCGUAGAUAUCGGAAGGAACACCAGUGGCGAAAGCGGCUUCCUGGUCCAGCACCGACGUUCAGGCACGAAAGCGUGGGGAGCAAACAGG
rnacentral:rRNA from 1 species